rnacentral:rRNA from 1 species
CUCAUGCCCUUUAUGACCUUGGGCUACACACGUGCUACAAUGGGUGGUACAAAGAGAAGCCAACUCGCGAGAGCGCGCCAAUCUCAAAAAGCCAUCCUCAGUUCGGAUUGGAGUCUGCAACUCGACUCCAUGAAGUUGGAAUCGCUAGUAAUCGCGGAUCAGCAUGCCGCGGUGAAUACGUUCCCGGGCCUU